rnacentral:rRNA from 1 species
GAUCCUGGCUCAGGACGAACGUUGGCGGCGCGCCUAACACAUGCAAGUCGAACGAGCGAGAGAGAGCUUGCUUUCUCGAGCGAGUGGCGAACGGGUGAGUAACGCGUGAGGAACCUGCCUCAAAGAGGGGGACAACAGUUGGAAACGACUGCUAAUACCGCAUAAGCCCACGACCCGGCAUCGGGUAGAGGGAAAAGGAGCAAUCCGCUUUGAGAUGGCCUCGCGUCCGAUUAGCUAGUUGGUGAGG